rnacentral:rRNA from 1 species
AUUGAACGCUGGCGGCAGGCUUAACACAUGCAAGUCGAACGUGAAAGGUCUUCGGACUGAGUAGAGUGGCGGACGGGUGAGUAACGCGUAGGAAUCUACCUAGUAGUGGGGGACAACAUGGUGAAAACCAUGCUAAUACCGCAUACGCCCUACGGGGGAAAGCGGGGGCUCUUCGGACCUCGCGCUAUUAGAUGAGCCUGCGUAAGAUUAGCUAGUUGGUGGGGUAAAGGCCUACCAAGGCGACGAUCUUUAGCUGGUCUGAGAGGAUGAUCAGCCACACUGGGACUGAGACACGGCCCAG